rnacentral:rRNA from 1 species
GUCGAACGAAGUAGCAAUACUUAGUGGCAGACGGGUGAGUAACAUGUAGGUAUCUACCCUUUGGCCUGGAAUAACACGAGGAAACUUGUGCUAAUACCGGAUAAGUCUUUACGGAGAAAGCUUUAUGCACCAUUGGAUGAGCCUGCACUUGAUUAGUUUGUUGGUGGGGUAAUGGCCUACCAAGACUAUGAUCAAUAGCUGAUUUGAGAGGAUGAUCAGCCACAUUGGAACUGAGACACGGUCCAAACUCCUACGGGAGGCAGCAGUAGGGAAUCUUGCACAAUGGAGGAAACUCUGAUGCAGCGAUGCCGCGUGAGUGAAGAAGGCCUUUGGGUUGUAAAGCUCUUUCGUCGGGGAAGAAAAUGACUGUACCCGAAUAAGAAGGUCCGGCUAACUUCGUGCCAGCAGCCGCGGUAAUACGAAGGGACCUAGCGUAGUUCGGAAUUACUGGGCUUAAAGAGUUCGUAGGUGGUUAAAAAAGUUGGUGGUGAAAUCCCAGAGCUUAACUCUGGAACUGCCAUCAAAACUUUUUAGCUAGAGUAUGAUAGAGGAAAGCAGAAUUUCUAGUGUAGAGGUGAAAUUCGUAGAUAUUAGAAAGAAUACCGAUUGCGAAGGCAGCUUUCUGGAUCAUUACUGACACUGAGGAACGAAAGCAUGGGUAGCGAAGAGGAUUAGAUACCCUCGUAGUCCAUGCCGUAAACGAUGUGUGUUAGACGUUGGAAAUUUAUUUUCAGUGUCGCAGCGAAAGCAGUAAACACACCGCCUGGGGAGUACGACCGCAAGGUUAAAACUCAAAUGAAUUGACGGGGACCCGCACAAGUAGUG